rnacentral:rRNA from 1 species
GAUGAACGCUGGCGGCGUGCCUAAUACAUGCAAGUCGAGCGAACAGACGAGGAGCUUGCUCCUCUGACGUUAGCGGCGGACGGGUGAGUAACACGUGGAUAACCUAUCUAUAAGACUGGGAUAACUUCGGGAAACCGGAGCUAAUACCGGAUAAUAUAUUGAACCGCAUGGUUCAAUAGUGAAAGACGGUUUUGCUGUCACUUAUAGAUGGAUCCGCGCCGCAUUAGCUAGUUGGUAAGGUAACGGCUUACCAAGGCAACGAUGCGUAGCCGACCUGAGAGGGGGAUCGGCCACACUGGAACUGAGACACGGUCCAGACUCCUACGGGAGGCAGCAGUAGGGAAUCUUCCGCAAUGGGCGAAAGCCUGACGGAGCAACGCCGCGUGAGUGAUGAAGGUCUUCGGAUCGUAAAACUCUGUUAUUAGGGAAGAACAAAUGUGUAAGUAACUAUGCACGUCUUGACGGUACCUAAGCAGAAAGCCACGGCUAACUACGU